AUUGAACGCUGGCGGCAUGCCUUACACAUGCAAGUCGAACGGCAGCACGGGAGCAAUCCUGGUGGCGAGUGGCGAACGGGUGAGUAAUAUAUCGGAACGUGCCCGGUCGUGGGGGAUAACGUAGCGAAAGCUACGCUAAUACCGCAUACGAUCUACGGAUGAAAGCGGGGGAUCGCAAGACCUCGCGCGAUUGGAGCGGCCGAUAUCAGAUUAGGUAGUUGGUGAGGUAAUGGCUCACCAAGGCGACGAUCCGGUAACUAGGGUCUGAGAGGAUGAUCAGUCACACUGGAACUGAGACACGGUCCAGACUCCUACGGGAGGCAGCAGUGGGGAAUAUUGGACAAUGGGCGAAAGCCUGAUCCAGCCAUGCCGCGUGUGUGAAGAAGGUCUUCGGAUUG
rnacentral:rRNA from 1 species